rnacentral:rRNA from 1 species
GACGAACGCUGGCGGCGUGCCUAAUACAUGCAAGUAGGACGCAGUUGCGAACGGGUGAGUAACGCGUAGGUAACUGCCUAUUAGAGGGGGCUAACUAUUGGAAACGAUAGCUAAUACCGCAUACUAGUAGAUGGAGCUGCGUUGUAUUGGCCAGUAGGUAGGGUAAUGGCCUACCUAGGCGCCGAUACAUAGCCGAGUGGGGGAGGUGGUCGGGCAAACUGGGAAUGAGGCACGGCCCAGGCUCCUAAGGGAGGCAGCAGGUGGGAAUCUUUGGAAAUGGGGGGAACGCCGAACGAGGAACGCCGCGUGAGUGAAGAAGGUUUUCGGGUCGGAAAGCUCUGUUGGUAAGGAAGCGGUACUUAACCAGAAAGGGCCGGCUAACUCCGUGCCAGCCGCCGCGGUAAUAC